CUCUUCGGAGUUGACGAUAAUGGAAUGAGCGGCGGACGGGUGAGUAACACGUAGGCAACCUGCCUGUAAGACUGGGAUAACUCGUGGAAACGCGAGCUAAUACCGGAUAACACUUUUCAUCUCCUGAUGAGAAGUUGAAAGGCGGCUUUUGCUGUCACUUACAGAUGGGCCUGCGGCGCAUUAGCUAGUUGGUAAGGUAACGGCUUACCAAGGCGACGAUGCGUAGCCGACCUGAGAGGGUGAUCGGCCACACUGGGACUGAGACACGGCCCAGACUCCUACGGGAGGCAGCAGUAGGGAAUCUUCCGCAAUGGACGAAAGUCUGACGGAGCAACGCCGCGUGAGUGAUGAAGGUUUUCGGAUCGUAAAACUCUGUUGUUAGGGAAGAACAAGUACUAUAGUAACUGAUAGUACCUUGACGGUACCUAACCAGAAAGCCACGGCUAACUACGUGCCAGCAGCCGCGGUAAUACGUAGGUGGCAAGCGUUGUCCGGAAUUAUUGGGCGUAAAGCGCUCGCAGGCGGUUCUUUAAGUCUGAUGUGAAAUCUUACGGCUCAACCGUAAACGUGCAUUGGAAACUGGGGAACUUGAGUGCAGAA
rnacentral:rRNA from 1 species